GGCUUGACGGUCCAGUAGUAUGAUUCCUUGUUAGGGUGAUAUUGUGACAUACUGCUCGAGGAGGUCCUGGGUUCAAUUCCCAGUCAAGCCC